UACGGAGGUGGCAAGCGUUGUUCGGAAUUACUGGGCGUAAAGGGCGCGUAGGCGGCAAGGCAAGUCAGGUGUGAAAGCCCCGAGCUUAACUCGGGAAUUGCAUCUGAAACUGCUGUGCUUGAGUUCUGGAGGGGGUAGUGGAAUUCCCAGUGUAGCGGUGAAAUGCGUAGAUAUUGGGAGGAACACCUGCGGCGAAGGCGGCUAUCUGGACAGAGUCUGACGCUGAGGCGCGAAAGCUAGGGGAGCAAACAGG
rnacentral:rRNA from 1 species